GCUUCCGUGGCCCAGUGGCAAGGCGUCUGCCUAGUAAGCAGAAGAUCGGCGGUUCAAUUCCGUCCGGAAGCA